GCGGCAUUGGCAGGGACAGAUCACAUAUGAUUCUUCUGUGCUCAGUAAACUGUCUUGGUUAUGUUGGUUUUGAAUACCUAGACAAAGUCCCUUUCAAGAUAAGUCAGUCCACUCUACAACCAUCCUAGGGACGCUCCCAGGCAGCUAUUUUCUAUGGAUACAAGCGACAUAAAAGUACAGCUCCCAUCUACUUGAAUGGGGAAAAUCUCCAAAAAGCAGUUCCAUGGACUUCCAGUGCAGCCUCCUGCUCUGCUCAUGAUGUAGAGGAUCUUCACACAUCCAGCAGUCCCAUCAGCAGUACCACAACAGCAGGGCCCCCAGAGUCCCUAGGAUCGUCCCUGUGGUUCAGGCUGUCUCUGACUCUUUACUGCUGAGAUAGCCAGGCCCCCCAUGGUUCGUUAUUUAACAUCCCUAUUUUAUGUACCAUUCUUCAAACUUAAGUCGUUUUGUUUUUUGUUUUUUUUGUUUUUUUUUCCAGACUUUUUCACUUCACUUGAGUGCUUGUCUAAACCAGUAGCAGUGUUUUUAUGUGGUUUCUGUUUGUAAAAAAAUCAGUUGGAUCAUUGAUUAAUAAUGACUUACGUAACACAUAAAAACAUAUUUGCCAGUUACAGUUGGGGGAGGAGUUGAAAAGAGAGCCGUCAAGCCGGACACUUUGCACUUCCAGUCGCAUGCUGAACCCACGCCAGUCACGAAAGAUUGUGCAAUGUUUGUUUUCUUUAUUGCAGACGUGGAAUUCAGAUGGACAGAUGUUUGAAUUUUACAUAAAAUAACCAGACAAUAACCAAACAAUUUCAAGUUUAUGUGCUGCUUAAUACAGUGCCUGUUGUGUGUACAAGAAGAAAGUCCGAUAAAAGCCUGUAUUAUUUUAAUACCAAUA